rnacentral:rRNA from 1 species
GACGAACGCUAGCGGCGUGCCUAAUGUAUGCAAGUCGAGCGGGGUAAGAGACUUGUCUCUUAUUCAGCGGCAAACGGUUGAGUAACACGUAGGCAACCUGCCCCAGAGACGGGGAUAGCCCGCCGAAAGGCGGAUUAAUACCGGAUGUGGCCGGAGGGGACAUCCCCUCUGUGCUAAAGGAGCAAUCCGCUCUGGGAUGGGCCUGCGGCCUAUCAGCUAGUUGGUGAGGUAACGGCUCACCAAGGCGACGACGGGUAGCUGGUCUGAGAGGAUGGUCAGCCAGACAGGGACUGAGACACGGCCCUGACUCCUUUGGGGGGCAGCAAUGAGGGAUAUUGCACAAUGGGCGAAAGACCUGAUGCAGCGACGCCGCGUGGGUGACG